GGCCUUAUGGCUCAGUCGGUAGAGCGUUAGGCUUCUAACCUAACGGUCCAGAGUUCGAGCCCCUGUUCGGACG
rnacentral:tRNA from 1 species